ensembl:lncRNA
UCAAGUACAUGCAUAAUACACAUAUUAUAUAUUAUGUAAAUAGAAACAUUGUAAAUUAGAUGCAAUAUAAAUUAAUACAAAAUCAUUGCUAAAACGGUUUUGGACAUUUAAAAUGUGCUAAAAUUGGUUAAAAAAAAAAAAAAAAAAAACAUGUUUUGCACCAUGUUGGAUGUCACAUGCUGUCACACUUUAAGCUGACAUCAGUUUCAUGUCUCUCUAAUGCUGUAGGUGUUAAAAAUAUAAUUAAAUAGCAGCUUCCGCACAGUGAUAUGCUAAUGUAUGACUGUGCAACAACACAGUAGUAUUUAGUAUGUUACACUAUGAGGAACAGAAUCUCUGUCCCACACCAUUCUCUCUUCAAACAUUUCCUGUCCCAUUUUUACUGUAUCUUUGUAGUAAGGCAAACACACAAAAAUAAAAUGUAAAAAUAGAAGUUAUGUCUUUGGGUUGGUCAGAAACAAGAGUCUAUAAUAAAUGGAUGGUCUUCACACCUCUCAGUGAGAGAGUAAACCAGCUUUUACCGCCUCAUGCUAAACCCGAACUCGUGAUAUUAAAAAGAGAUGCACUACCAUCUUAGCUGAGCAUCAGAGCUGAAAGCAGGGGAGAACUGGCAAUGUGUAGAAAACUAAAGAAGAAAAACAAUUAACUUUAGCACUAAACACUGUUCCUGGACUAUAAAAGCAGAAAUGUCUGAUGUCUGACGUCAUCAAGGUUCAGUUUGAGAAUUUUCUGAUCGAUGGCCAUCUUGUUUCCCCGCAUCAAGACCCCGUGCUGACACACAAUGCCACAAUAUCGCAGGAAAAACAGACACUUUGGAGAAGGUGCUAAGCUCUGCAAGGACAAGAAAAAGCAGCCGUGCUUGGAAGAAAAGGAAACUUUUUUUGUUUGUUUGUUUGUUUUAACAGAUGGACACAGAGACUUUGAGAGUUAAUUCACUCAAAAAUGUCAAAUCCGUGAUGUACUCACCCUCAUGUUAUUCCAUACCUUUGGUUCAUAUUUAAAACACAAAUUAAGAUAUUUUUAACGGAACCUGAGAGCUUUCUGUCCAUCCAUUAAAAGUUCAGAUAACCAAAACUUAGAAUAUUCUAGAAGGUCAUAAAGGUGUUUUUAAUGAAUUGAGUGGUUUCUUUUUCUUGUAAAGAGAUACGAUCGCUUUCCUGCGUUGCACAAGCCGUGUUUGCCUGUGUGUAAAGUUCUGGGCCGGGUUUCCCGAUAACGAUUGAUCUUAGCGCUUAAGCACGUUUUCUACGAGCAAUUUUACGAUCGUUCGUUAUUGUUUCACGUGCGUUUCCCAAAAAUGCACGUAAAGCAAUCACACAUAGGCUAGCUGUGCUUUAAGUGCUACUUAGGAGACGCUAUCCGUUUGUCAAGUGCUGAAACGUCACCUUAAAGAAUGGCUUUUAAUUGUAGUAAACGAUAGUUUAUUGACGUUAACCUAAUGCUGCGUUCCAGACAGAAAACUUGGAUAUAAUAACUAUAAUACUAUACAAUAUUGUGGCCCCAUCAUACACCCGGCGCAAUGCGACGCAAGGCGCAGCGCAAGUGUGUUUGCUAGUUUCAGUCCGGUCGAUUAAUUCAGU